AUUGAACGCUGGCGGCAGGCUUUACACAUGCAAGUCGAACGGUAACAGACCAUCGGCUUCUGCCGACGGGCGGACGGGGGCGUAAUGCAGCGGAACGUACCCGGAGGUAGUUGUUAACGCAGCGAAAGGUGUGCUAAUACACCAUAAUACCGCAGGCGGCAAGCGGGGGACAGCGCGGCAAUGUUGGACCUCGCGCGUUUGAAUGGGCCGAUGUCGGAUUAGCUAGUUGGCGGGGUAAAGGCCUACCAAGGCGACGAUCCGUAGCUGGUCUGAGAGGAUGAUCAGCCACACUGGAACUGAGACACGGUCCAGACUCCUACGGGAGGCAGCAGUGGGGAAUAUUGGACAAUGGGCGCAAGCCUGAUCCAGCCAUGCCGCGUGCGGGAAGAAGGCCUUCGGGUUGUAAAGCCCUUUUGUUAGGAAAGAAAAGCAGCAGGCUAAUACCCCGCGGUACUGACGGUACCUGAAGAAUAAGCACCGGCUAACUUCGUG
rnacentral:rRNA from 1 species